ACGCUGGCGGCGUGCCUAAUACAUGCAAGUAGAACGCUGAAGGAGGAGCUUGCUUCUCUGGAUGAGUUGCGAACGGGUGAGUAACGCGUAGGUAACCUGCCUGGUAGCGGGGGAUAACUAUUGGAAACGAUAGCUAAUACCGCAUAACAGUAGAUGUUGCAUGACAUUUGCUUAAAAGGUGCAAUUGCAUCACUACCAGAUGGACCUGCGUUGUAUUAGCUAGUUGGUGGGGUAACGGCUCACCAAGGCGACGAUACAUAGCCGACCUGAGAGGGUGAUCGGCCACACUGGGACCGAGACACGGCCCAGACUCCUACGGGAGGCAGCAGUAGGGAAUCUUCGGCAAUGGACGGAAGUCUGACCGAGCGACGCCGCGUGAGUGAAGAAGGUUUUCGGAUCGUAAAGCUCUGUUGUAAGAGAGGAACGAGUGUGAGAGUGGAAAGUUCACACUGUGACGGUAUCUUACCAGAAAGGGACGGCUAACUACGUGCCAGCAGCCGCGGUAAUACGUAGGUCCCGAGCGUUGUCCGGAUUUAUUGGGCGUAAAGCGAGCGCAGGCGGUUAGAUAAGUCUGAAGUUAAAGGCUGUGGCUUAACCAUAGUACGCUUUGGAAACUGUUUAACUUGAGUGCAAGAGGGGAGAGUGGAAUUCCAUGUGUAGCGGUGAAAUGCGUAGAUAUAUGGAGGAACACCGGUGGCGAAAGCGGCUCUCUGGCUUGUAACUGACGCUGAGGCUCGAAAGCGUGGGGAGCAAACAGGAUUAGAUACCCUGGUAGUCCACGCCGUAAACGAUGAGUGCUAGGUGUUAGACCCUUUCCGGGGUUUAGUGCCGCAGCUAACGCAUUAAGCACUCCGCCUGGGGAGUACGACCGCAAGGUUGAAACUCAAAGGAAUUGACGGGGGGCCCCGCACAAGCGGU
rnacentral:rRNA from 1 species